AUUGAACGCUGGCGGCAGGCCUAACACAUGCAAGUCGAGCGGUAGCACAGAGAGCUUGCUCUCGGGUGACGAGCGGCGGACGGGUGAGUAAUGUCUGGGAAACUGCCUGAUGGAGGGGGAUAACUACUGGAAACGGUAGCUAAUACCGCAUAACGUCGCAAGACCAAAGUGGGGGACCUUCGGGCCUCAUGCCAUCAGAUGUGCCCAGAUGGGAUUAGCUGGUAGGUGGGGUAACGGCUCACCUAGGCGACGAUCCCUAGCUGGUCUGAGAGGAUGACCAGCCACACUGGAACGGAGACACGGUCCAAGCUCCUACGGGAGGCAGCAGUGGGGAAUAUUGAACAAGGGGCGCAAGCCUGAUGCAGCCAGGCCGCGUGUGUGAAGAAGGCCUUCGGGUUGUAAAGCGCUUUCAGCGGGGAGGAAGGCGGUGAGGUUAAUAACCUCAUCGAUUGACGUUACCCGCAGAAGAAGCACCGGCUAACUCCGUGCCAGCCGCCGCAGUAACAC
rnacentral:rRNA from 1 species